GACGAACGCUGGCGGCGUGCUUAACACAUGCAAGUCGAACGGAAAGGCCCUGCUUUUGUGGGGUGCUCGAGUGGCGAACGGGUGAGUAACACGUGAGUAACCUGCCCUUGACUUUGGGAUAACUUCAGGAAACUGGGGCUAAUACCGGAUAGGAGCUCCUGCUGCAUGGUGGGGGUUGGAAAGUUUCGGCGGUUGGGGAUGGACUCGCGGCUUAUCAGCUUGUUGGUGGGGUAGUGGCUUACCAAGGCUUUGACGGGUAGCCGGCCUGAGAGGGUGACCGGCCACAUGGGGACGGAGAUACGGCCCAGACUCCUACGGGAGGCAGCAGUGGGGAAUAUUGCACAAGGGGCGGAAGCCUGAUGCAGCAACGCCGCGUGCGGGAUGACGGCCUUCGGGUGGUAAACCGCUUUCGCCUGUGACGAAGCGUGAGUGACGGUAAUGGGUAAAGAAGCACCGGCAAACUACGU
rnacentral:rRNA from 1 species